AACGCGAAGAACCUUACCAGGUCUUGACAUCCCUCUGACCGGUCCUUAACCGGACCUUUCCUUCGGGACAGAGGAGACAGGUGGUGCAUGGUUGUCGUCAGCUCGUGUCGUGAGAUGUUGGGUUAAGUCCCGCAACGAGCGCAACCCCUAUCCUUAGUAGCCAGCAGUUCGGCUGGGCACUCUAGGGAGACUGCCAGGGAUAACCUGGAGGAAGGCGGGGAUGACGUCAAAUCAUCAUGCCCCUUAUGAUCUGGGCUACACACGUGCUACAAUGGUGGCUACAAAGAGAAGCGACCUCGCGAGAGUAAGCAAAUCUCAAAAAGGCCAUCCCAGUUCGGAUUGUAGUCUGCAACUCGACUACAUGAAGCUGGAAUCGCUAGUAAUCGCGAAUCAGAAUGUCGCGGUGAAUACGUUCCCGGGUCUUGUACACACGC
rnacentral:rRNA from 1 species